GUGCAACUCGCCUGCAUGAAGUCGGAAUUGCUAGUAAUCGCGGAUCAGCAUGCCGCGGUGAAUACGUUCCCGGGCCUUGUACACACCGCCCGUCACACCAUGGGAGUCGGUAACACCCGAAGCCGAUAGUCUAACGAAAGAGGACGUCGUCGAAGGUGGGAUUGAUGACUGGGGUGAAGUCGUAACAAGGUAGC
rnacentral:rRNA from 1 species